GGUUGGGCACUCUAAUGAGACUGGCCGGUGAACAACCGGAGGAAGGUGGGGAUGACGUCAAGUCCUCAUGGCCCUUAUGGGUAGGGCUUCACACGUCAUACAAUGGUCGGUACAGAGGGUUGCCAACCCGCGAGGGGGAGCUAAUCCCACAAAGCCGAUCGUAGUCCGGAUCGCAGUCUGCAACUCGACUGCGUGAAGUCGGAAUCGCUAGUAAUCGUGGAUCAGCAUGUCACGGUGAAUACGUUCCCGGGUCUU
rnacentral:rRNA from 1 species